CGCGGCCUAUCAGCUUGUUGGUGGGGUAAUGGCCUACCAAGGCGACGACGGGUAGCCGGCCUGAGAGGGCGACCGGCCACACUGGGACUGAGACACGGCCCAGACUCCUACGGGAGGCAGCAGUAGGGGAUGUUGCACAAUGGGCGAAAGCCUGAUGCAGCGACGCCGCGUGAGGGAUGACGGCCUUCGGGUUGUAAACCUCUUUUAGCAGGGAAGAAGCGAGAGUGACGGUACCUGCAGAAAAAGCGCCGGCUAACUACGUGCCAGCAGCCGCGGUAAUACGUAGGGCGCAAGCGUUAUCCGGAAUUAUUGGGCGUAAAGAGCUCGUAGGCGGUUUGUCGCGUCUGCUGUGAAAUCCCGAGGCUCAACCCCGGGCCCGCAGUGGGUACGGGCAGACUAGAGUGCGGUAGGGGAGAUUGGAAUUCCUGGUGUAGCGGUGGAAUGCGCAGAUAUCAGGAGGAACACCGAUGGCGAAGGCAGAUCUCUGGGCCGUAACUGACGCUGAGGAGCGAAAGGGUGGGGAGCAAACAGGCUUAGAUACCCUGGUAGUCCACCCCGUAAACGUUGGGAACUAGUUGUGGGGUCCAUUCCACGGAUUCCGUGACGCAGCUAACGCAUUAAGCUCCCCGCCUGGGGAGUACGG
rnacentral:rRNA from 1 species